AAGCGGCUUGACACUUUUGUCGAAUUUUAUGACUUGUUUGUCCAAAUGCUCUAUAACAAAAUUAUUUCGUGCAUAAAUUGUUUGUGGAAUUCGUGUAGCUGUAGCGCCGCCAUUAUUUUCCAGCACACAUUAAAGACGCUUUAAAUCCGCUGAGAUCCACUUUUAAUGUCUAACAACAAAUAAAAAAUAAAAUAAAAUAAAAUAUUGGUGAAAUGCGCUCAGCUAAGUUUCGUGCGUCAAAGCUGCUCUCGCAUUGAAAAUCAAUUAAAAAACUAUUUGAGUCGUUUGGUGUAUAAACUCUUAUCUCGCAACUCAAAUUAUAAAUUUUAUGGGCAGUCCAUAAGCUUUAUCUAUUGGUUUUUUAGUGCGGCUUGUUUGGACCUCAAACAUAUAUAGUCCAAUUUCAAGCUGCCCUUUAUGUCCAGCUGGAGGCACCCAUAAAACUGGAGCAGCGACAAAUUGAUGGGGCCACAACCAGACACUUCGAAUAGGCGUGAAAUCCAUAUUGUUUAUGGGAGCACAGCAAAUAAAUAAAUAGACAUAUAUAACGACUGACGCCUCGGGCGCAUAUGCAUAACCAGUGCCAAAAUCUUGAGUUUUCACAAAACUCGCCUGUUAUCCCACACAAAUGUAAAGCGUACAAAAUUUGUCAAAUAAUAACUCGACUAAGUAAUACCCGUACCGUGCGCUGCUGCACUUUAUGCCCUGCCAGGACUGGCCUUAGGCAGCUAUUUAAUGUUGAAAUGGUUUUCUCUAUGCAGUUACUUUGUUGAGCCGUCGAACAUACCCUGUCUGGGUUUCGGGCACGGGUAUAAUGUGGCUGAAAUGUACAUAUUCAAGUGCCCGCUGGCGAUUGCGUUGACUUCUGUACGAAUGCGCAACGUGGAACGCAUUUCGCAUUGUCACAUAAUUACACAAUGAACGAGCGCUCGUCCAGUUUCAGCUCGAUUCCAGCUCAGUUCGUCGCUCGGGGUGCUUCCCACACAAUAUCAAGUAUUUAUCAUUGAAUACAUUUCCCAUUGUUAACUUGUUAA